rnacentral:rRNA from 1 species
CCUACGGGAGGCAGCAGUGAGGAAUAUUGGUCAAUGGGCGAGAGCCUGAACCAGCCAAGUCGCGUGAGGGAAGACGGUCCUAUGGAUUGUAAACCUCUUUUGUCGGGGAGCAAAAAGGCCUCGUGAGGCCACAAGUGAGAGUACCCGAAGAAAAAGCAUCGGCUAACUCCGUGCCAGCAGCCGCGGUAAUACGGAGGAUGCGAGCGUUAUCUGGAUUUAAUGGGUUAAAAGGGUGCGUAGGCGGACUGGAAAGUCAGCGGUAAAAGCGAGAGGCUCAACCUCUUUCCGCCGUUGAAACUGUCUGUCUUGAGUGGGCGAGAAGUAUGCGGAAUGCGUGGUGUAGCGGUGAAAUGCAUAGAUAUCACGCAGAACUCCGAUUGCGAAGGCAGCAUACCGGCGCCCGACUGACGCUGAGGCACGAAAGCGUGGGUAUCGAACAGGAUUAGAUACCCGGGUAGUC